GAACUGAACUGAAGGGCUUUCCAGGUGGCUCAGUGUUAAAGAAUCUGCCUGCCAACACAGGAAAUGUAGGAGACUCGGGUUGGAUCCCUGGGUCAGGAAGAUCCCUUGGAGAAGGAAAUGGCAACCCCCUCCAGUAUUCUUGCCUGGGAAAUUCCAUGAACAGAGGAACCUGGCGGGCUACCAUCCCUGUGGUCACAAAGAGUCAGACAGGACUGAGCACACAAGCUUGUAUGAUGAAAUGCUAAAUGAUUGGUGCUCCCAAAGCAGAUAUAUAGAUACACACUCUAUAUUUUUUAAACCUUCUUUUUAUUAAAAAAAAAUCCAUGAAGUCUUUUUCUUGAAUAUUUGUAUGGCCCCUGAAUUUUUAUUUGUUUGCGUGUCUGUUUAUACGGGUAGGUGUCAUUUGUCACCUUUCUCUCCUCUGUGUCAUUAUGGCUGUUCUAUGAGGUUUCAUCUCUUUAAUGUGAUUCUUUUUCUCUGCCUGCUCUUUGAGGUUUGUGGUCAGUUGAUGGAUGGCCUUAGCUGACAAUGUCCUUUGGACGUACCUGUGGCAUCUUCCACGGAGGUCUAGUUAUGGAGCAGCCGGCCAGCAGGAAGCUACCAGCUCACUGUCUAAGCACCACGAGUGAAGAAAGUCCUGGAUGGGGACUGGGAGGGAAUCGUCAGUCCCAGGACUUGCCUCUCUCUGCUCCAUUCUGUCAAAAUGUAGUGAAACAGCGGGGAUCCACCUUCCACUCCACACAGCUGAGUAUCUUCCUUGAAGAUGAAAGAACAAGAUGAAUACAUCCUGUUGAAGAUGAAUACAUCUGGAUCCAUGAUGAACUCGUGAAGAAGAGCUGCAUGGCUCCCUGACACGGCGGGCAUUGACAUGAUAGAGAAAUAGACAUCUGUUUUUUCUCAAGCCACUGUGACUUGUGGUCUUCUUGUUUGUUUCUUAUCAUCCCUUAGCAAUUGAUAGGGAAUAUGAGAAUACCUCUUUCCUCACACUUCUGUCAGCAGGUAUUAAACCUUUUGAUCUUUGGUAGCUGUAGAUAAAAGUGGUAACUUAAUGUCCUUCUUGUCUUCUUUUUUCUUAUAACAAAUGUGAUUAUUAAUAUUUUAUGUUAAUUAAAAGUGUAUCCUAUUUGCAGAGAACAUUGACAUUUCCUUUCUCAUUUUUCUAUUGGUUUAUUAUUAUUAUUAUUAAUAAAUAUAGUAAUAUAAAGUUAACA
rnacentral:lncRNA from 1 species